GGUGGCAUGGCUGAGAGGUCUAAGGUGCUGGAUUAAGGCUCCAGUCUCUUUGGGGGCAUGGGUUUGAAUCCCGUUGCGGCCA
rnacentral:tRNA from 1 species